UACAGAGGGUGCAAGCGUUGCUCGGAAUCAUUGGGCGUAAAGCGCACGUAGGCGGUUCGUUAUGUCGGAUGUGAAAGCCCUUGGCUUAACCGAGGAAGUGCAUCCGAAACUGGCGAGCUAGAGUACGAAAGAGGAUCGCGGAAUUCCCGGUGUAGAGGUGAAAUUCGUAGAUAUCGGGAGGAACACCAGUGGCGAAGGCGGCGAUCUGGGAAGAUACUGACGCUGAGGUGCGAAAGCGUGGGGAGCAAACAGG
rnacentral:rRNA from 1 species